CUAAAAUGCAGCCAACUAUGGAUCUAUUAUCUACCUCUCCAAGCCUGGUUCACAUAUGACGCCGAUCUGGCACCAGUUCAUUGUUGGUAUAAUCAUUGACUGAGAAAAUUAUUUCAGAUGCACAAAGGCUUUUAGUUUUAAUAAUGAGUAAUCACUAACAAUCAAUGAGAUUAUGGAAUUCGCCGACUUAUUGAUGUCACAUGGAAAACAGUUAAGUUAUGCUUUUCUUUCAUAUUUCGUCAGUACUCCCAAGAAGACAACAAGAGCGGUUCUCACGACUCCAGAACUAGGAACGACUAGAACG